rnacentral:lncRNA from 1 species
AAUGAUAAUGAAUGAAAAAAUGUUUUUCUUUUGUUUUGUAAGUUGUUAAUUGGUUUGGGGGAUAAAACAUUCUCUGACACCACCAGGUGCAGAUUCCCAAAGGACAUUCAACUAGAGUAACAUAGGAAGAUGAUGAGAAAUAUUUUUAAUGAAAUUUCACUAAGCAAAGAACCUAACUACAUAAAGCAAAAACAAGAAACUGAGGAGAAAGUCAUAGGUGUUCCACUGGGUUGAAACUGCUCAGAGAUCCCAUCAAAGGAAAGGGGUGUAUGUUCUCACAAACACCAGGACGCCUCUGUUAUUAAUUCAGGAAUACAUUUCUGAAAAGAGGAAGCUCUUUAGUAACUGAAAAUGAAAUUGUGCCCACACAGUUGAGAAAUGUCAACAAAGGUCUCCUUUUUCAAUAAAGCCACAUUUACCACAUAGCAUAAAGAUUCACUAUUGGAACAAUGCCAAAUGCUAAAAUAAGUUGAAUUUUUCAUUUAGUAUACCAGAGUAAAAUUUAGAAUUCUGUCU